rnacentral:lncRNA from 1 species
UUCCUUGCCCAUUCAAUUUCUAAUUAAAUUAUUGAAUUUCUAAAAGGUAGGAAGGUGGGUAGGUUUUUAUAAUCCCCAUAGGCCUUAAACAGGAGAUGACUUGCUCCUACUUCUCUUUUCUUGAAAGCUGAAUGCUCUUGGAGACUUUUUUCCAUUGAUUUUAGAGCGAACUGAGACCGGAUAUCUAACCUUAUGGGUAAAUGGCUCAAGCAAAUUGCGUAUUUCCUCAGAGGAGGCCUUUUCAAAUGCAUCUUAGGGCUAAGAUCCUGAAAGAUUGGAUUUGAUAUCUUUCUAAAAUAUUUUUCAUUCCAAGUGUUUCAACUGAAAAUCUUCCUUAGUUGAAGUUUGUUGGUAUGUUAAUGGCAACUUGAUGUUUUUGAAUUUAGAAAUAUUAUAUAAUAAUAGGAUUAAUACAACUGUUUUUCCGUGGGUAUUUAAAUACUCCUAUCUUUUUAAUGUAAUCAAGAUUGCGAUAAUCCUUGAUUAGUACCGGAUAUGAAAAUAUAAUUUCCUUUUUGAUCAGCUUUUCCCCUCCCCUCUAUAUCAGUACCAUAAUCAUAGAUUAUUUUCUGGGCUGGUUGGGGUAAGUAUAGGUUAAUCCCCAUUAAUCGACCAAUAACACUAGUUAACAAAAUUUGAACUUGUUUUAACUUUUGAUUGAAAUGGUUUGAUCCUGAUUGUUUCCAUCCCGAUCACAGCUUCACUCAUUAACAGAAAUACCCUACUUAUUUUGUUGUUAGCGGUUGAUUCACUCAUUUCACUUGUUACGUCAUUCCUAUUUUAUAAUUUAUUCUUUUUGAUAAAUGAACUAAGUAAUAAGUUGUUUUAUUUGUAUGCUCCGUUUCCAAAAGGACAGGAAUACAAUUUCUUGUCGAUACCUUGUUGUAUGUGCAUGUUAAGAUUUAAAUGUCUUUAUUUAAACUAAGUAAAAUGAUCAUUCUAUUUUACCAAAAAGAAAAGGAAAAAGAAGAUACAUAUAAAGAUCAAUCAAUAUUAACUAGAUCAGUGGAACUUCAAAACUACUCCGCUUAGACGAGAGAGUGAGUAAAGAGAUUAUCUAGUUAGCAAUACACAAUAAAUUUCAUUAUAAAUCAUUAAUAAAGAAACAAAUGGAUCAUCAUGGAUCUGGGGAUCUUGUGCAUUUUAUAGUUGGAGACGCUGGAAGGAUACUCAGAACUCCAAAAGCACGUCGAAGUCUAUUUAUCGUGACAUUGUCAGUUCUUGAUCCAAAGUCCAAUCUAUAGUAACGAUCGUACCUCCCAUUCACUCUAAACGGGCCCAAGAAAUUUGGAGAAAGAUACUCUUUUUUGGGUUUAUUUUUAAGAAAAACAAAUUUUGUUUUUUAAUUGUUUGUUAAUGGCCCCUUUAUUAAAGUAUCUCAGAGGAACGUGUGUUAUUUUCUCCAUUGUUUUAAAGAAAAACUUUCGACGACGAGGUUGCCAGAAAGAAAGGAAUUAAGGAAACUAACGACCAUGGAUCUAAGCUACCUGUAAUUAAUUGAAAUGCCUAUUCUUAAAAGAUUUAUGGAAACGUUUUAUAAGUCCGUUGGACUCUGGAUGGUACGAGGCUGUGUUCUUGCUUGCAAUCCCAAGUGUCCUGCAAACACCCAUCCAUAAUGAACUUGUGAACUGUGUUCCUUGGUUUCUAGAACUCCAAACCUCGAAAUCCGUUCAUUCAAAAAUUACCGAAUAUUGUCUUGGAAGCUGUAUUUAGAAUAAGUAUCACUUCUGGCACCUUGUGAAACGAUCCAUAAUAGUUCGGGCAUAGCGCUCAGUUUGAAUUAGUGGGAAUGGACCGAUUAUGUCUACGUGAAUAAAAGAAAGUUUUUUAGACGGAUACAUGUGAUACAAUAAAGAUAACGACGUGUAAUAAGCAUGAAAAUGACCUUUAUAACCUAAAAUUUCUGGUUUUAUGGUCUACAUUUUGAAUGGAAGAUGUGAUAAUCACUUAAUAAUCCGUUAUCAAUAGACUUUAGACAUGAAAGAUUAUUCAUAUUGGAAGAGACUCAUGGUGGGACGAACAAGCAUAACAUCAGAAUAGGAAAGAGCAGCGAUUUCCUGUUCGUUGUGAGCUAGGAUGUAUCAGUAGAAGAGGUGGUUGGAUGUGGUGAGACAAAUCACUGAGAGGAUUCGAGGAGGCACUCAAAGGUCGAAUGAAAAUUUAUGAAAGGAAUAUCUUGGAAUUUACAUUCUUUUUAAUUAUUUAUUAUUAUCUUAUAUAUGUAAAUAAUUAAUUAUCAAUUGCCUAAUGUUAGUACGUAUAAUUUGGAUCAAAUCUAAAAUUAAAUGUGUCGUUCAAUUA